rnacentral:rRNA from 1 species
AUUGAACGCUAGCGGGAUGCCUUACACAUGCAAGUCGAACGAGUGGCGGACGGGUGAGUAAUAUAUCGGAACGUGCCCAGUAGCGGGGGAUAACUACUCGAAAGAGUGGCUAAUACCGCAUACUAGUGUAGCGGCCGAUAUCGGAUUAGCUUGUGGGUGGGGUAAAGGCGCACCAAGGCAACGAUCCGUAGCUGGUUUGAGAGGACGACCAGCCACACUGGGACUGAGACACGGCCCAGACUCCUACGGGAGGCAGCAGUGGGGAAUAUUGGACAAUGGGGGAAACCCUGAUCCAGCCAUCCCGCGUGUAUGAGAAGGCCGUCGGGUUGUAAAGUACUUUUGGCAGAGAGGCGUUAUCUGCAGAAUAAGCACCGGCUAACUCCGUGCCAGCAGCCGCGGUAAUUC